CACAUGCAGCCGAGCGUAGAGAUCUUUCGGGAUCUUGAGAGCGGCGUACGGGUGCGGAACACGUGUGCAACCUGCCUUUAUCUGGGGGAUAGCCUUUCGAAAGGAAGAUUAAUACCCCAUAAUAUAUUAGAUGGCAUCAUUUAAUAUUGAAAACUCCGGUGGAUAGAGAUGGGCACGCGCAAGAUUAGAUAGUUGGUGAGGUAACGGCUCACCAAGUCAAUGAUCUUUAGGGGGCCUGAGAGGGUGAUCCCCCACACUGGUACUGAGACACGGACCAGACUCCUACGGGAGGCAGCAGUGAGGAAUAUUGGACAAUGGGUGAGAGCCUGAUCCAGCCAUCCCGCGUGAAGGACGACGGCCCUAUGGGUUGUAAACUUCUUUUGUAUAGGGAUAAACCUUUCCACGUGUGGAAAGCUGAAGGUACUAUACGAAUAAGCACCGGCUAACUCCGUGCCAGCAGCCGCGGUAAUACGGAGGGUGCAAGCGUUAUCCGGAUUUAUUGGGUUUAAAGGGUCCGUAGCGGGCUCGUAAGUCAGUGGUGAAAUCUCAUAGCUUAACUAUGAAACUGCCAUUGAUACUGCGAGCCUUGAGUAAGGUAGAGGUAGCUGGAAUAAGUAGUGUAGCGGUGAAAUGCAUAGAUAUUACUUAGAACACCAAU
rnacentral:rRNA from 1 species